rnacentral:miRNA from 1 species
UGAUUAUGUGUGUGUGUAUAUGCAUGUGCACAUGUACACCUACACACACACACACACACACACACACACACACACACACACACACAUUU